rnacentral:rRNA from 1 species
AGGACGAACGCUGGCGGCGUGCCUAACACAUGCAAGUCGAGCGAGGAGAUUCCUUCGGGAUGAUCCUAGCGGCGGACGGGUGGGUAACACGUGGGCAACCUGCCUCAUAGAGAGGAAUAGCCUUCCGAAAGGGAGAUUAAUACCUCAUAACAUUGCAGUUUCGCAUGGAACAGCAAUUAAAGGAGCAAUCCGCUAUGAGAUGGGCCCGCGGCGCAUUAGCUAGUCGGUGAGGUAACGGCUCACCCAAGGCGACGAUGCGUAGCCGACCUGAGAGGGUGAUCGGCCACAUUGGGACUGAGACACGGCCCAGACUCCUACGGGAGGCAGCAGUGGGGAAUAUUGCACAAUGGGGGGAAAAACCCCUGAUGCAGCAACGCCGCGUGAGUGAAGAAGGUUUUCGGGUUGUAAACCUCUGUCCUUGGUGACGAAACAAAUGACGGUAGCCAAGGAGGAAGCCCCGGCUAACUACGUGCCAGCCGCCGC